UACGAAGGGGGCUAGCGUUGCUCGGAAUCACUGGGCGUAAAGGGUGCGUAGGCGGGUCUUUAAGUCAGGGGUGAAAUCCUGGAGCUCAACUCCAGAACUGCCUUUGAUACUGAAGAUCUUGAGUUCGGGAGAGGUGAGUGGAACUGCGAGUGUAGAGGCGAAAUUCGUAGAUAUUCGCAAGAACACCAGUGGCGAAGGCGGCUCACUGGCCCGAUACUGACGCUGAGGCGCGAAAGCUAGGGGAGCAAACGGG
rnacentral:rRNA from 1 species